UACAUGGGGUGCAAACGUUGCUCGGAAUCAUUGGGCGUAAAGCGCGCGUAGGCGGUUGCUUAAGUCGGAUGUGAAAGCCCUCGGCUUAACUGAGGAAGUGCAUCCGAAACUGAGCAGCUAGAGUACGAAAGAGGGUCGCGGAAUUCCCGGUGUAGAGGUGAAAUGCGUAGAGAUCCGGAGGAACACCGAAGGCGAAGGCAGUGUCCUGGCGAGUGACUGACGCUGAGGUGCGAAAGCCAGGGGAGCGAACGGG
rnacentral:rRNA from 1 species